GGCUGUAACUGACACUGAGGAGCGAAAGCAUGGGGAGCGAACAGGAUUAGAUACCCUGGUAGUCCAUGCCGUAAACGUUGGGCACUAGGUGUGGGGGACAUUCCACGGUCUCCGUGACGCAGCUAACGCAUUAAGUUCCCCGCCUGGGGAGUACGGCCGCAAGGCUAAAACUCAAAGGAAUUGACGGGGACCCGCACAAGCGGCGGAGCAUGCGGAUUAAUUCGAUGCAACGCGAAGAACCUUACCAAGGCUUGACAUACACCGGAAACGUCCAGAGAUGGUCGCCCCUUUUUGGUCGGUGUACAGGUGGUGCAUGGUUGUCGUCAGCUCGUGUCGUGAGAUGUUGGGUUAAGUCCCGCAACGAGCGCAACCCUCGUUCUAUGUUGCCAGCACGUUAUGGUGGGAACUCAUGGGAUACUGCCGGGGUCAACUCGGAGGAAGGUGGGGAUGACGUCAAAUCAUCAUGCCCCUUAUGUCUUGGGCUUCACGCAUGCUACAAUGGCCGGUACAAUGGGCUGCGAUACCGUGAGGUGGAGCGAAUCCCAAAAAGCCGGUCCCAGUUCGGAUCGUAGUCUGCAACUCGACUACGUGAAGUCGGAGUCGCUAGUAAUCGCAGAUCAGCAACGCUGCGGUGAAUACGUUCCCGGGUCUUGUACACAC
rnacentral:rRNA from 1 species